CGAACAUCUAUGCUGACACAGACAAGCUCCUGGAAUGCCCCGUUGUGGUGAGACUGUGGUUUCCUCACUGAGCAGGGUUUUCAUCUAAAGACUGCCCUGACCCAACAGAGCCUUGAAGCUGUUUGUUGUCUGCUGACUGUGGAUCAGGCAUCUUGCUGGGCGCUGCAGAGGGCACAACACAAGACUAAGCCAGUGGAUCACAAACAUCCUGGAGAGCAGUGACUCUGUGAUUCCAUCACAAGAAUAUGAAGGACUGAGAAGAUCUCCAGCUCUGCCCAUUGCACCUUCCCAUUGAGAAGCAGCAUGGCACCCUGGUGGCAGGGGCUGAUACUCAGCCGGGCCAGGGUGCUCUCCUGUUAACCAUAACCAAGCUCACAGGACAUGGGAUGAGCCCACUGUGUGACACAGGGAGCGGGACACAGUCUGUUAAGUCUUGCACAGCCAUGCUCUGCCACGCAGGCAGGCCUUUCCUUGGCCUCCCUCUCCCUGUUCGUGCUCAUGUGAACAUCCACCUACGUGGAUAGACUGGGCUUUGGUUCAUUAUUGCUCUGUGAAUUCCUCGAACUUCCGCAUCUGCCCAACCUCCCCCACCCCAUUGUUUUCAUUGUGUUUCACCAAAUGGAAAUUCUAGAGUAAGCAUGUGAGUCCUCUCCCAAACUUGUUCACUGUUGAGAGUGCUAAAAUGCUAACCCCAGAUGCUAACUGAGGGGUAGGGUUACCUUAUCUUUAGAGCACUGCGAAUUGUAUGUUAAGUGGAACUUAAUGAAAAAAUAGUUAAUUGACCAACAUGAAUAUCCCCUGAACAGAAUCUCCCCUGAACAGAAUCCUACAAUGAAACUAAGGGAGAUAAAUAAAGCUGUUUACCUGAAAGCUCUCUCUAAUCAAGAUCCUUUGAAAUUUAUAAAACAUGGUCAAUAUUUGCACUGGACUUUGUAAAAAUAAAGCUUGAUAAGAGAAGAGUUUGAAGUGAAAUGCUGCCACUUUCUAUGCAAUAUUUGAUUUAAAUUUAAUUCCUAGAAACCUCAGAUGAAUGUGGUUCAUG
rnacentral:lncRNA from 1 species